UACGUAGGAGGCAAGCGUUGUCCGGAAUCACUGGGCGUAAAGCGCGUGUAGGCGGAUCGCUAAGUCUGUGGUGAAAGCGCCUGGCUUAACCGGGCGAGGUCCAUGGAAACUAGCGGUCUGGAGGCCGGUAGAGGGGGGUGGAAUUCCGGGUGUAGUGGUGAAAUGCGUAGAUAUCGGAAGGAACACCAGUGGCGAAAGCGGCUUCCUGGUCCAGCACCGACGUUCAGGCACGAAAGCGUGGGGAGCGAACAGG
rnacentral:rRNA from 1 species